AGAUUGAACGCUGGCGGCAUGCUUUACACAUGCAAGUCGAACAGUAACGCGGGGGCAACCCUGGCGACGAGUGGCGAACGGGUGAGUAAUACAUCGGAACAUGUCCUGGAGUGGGGGAUAGCUCGGCGAAAGCCGGAUUAAUACCGCAUACGCUCUGAGGAGGAAAGCGGGGGACUCGUAAGGGCCUCGCGCUGCGGGAGUGGCCGAUGUCGGAUUAGCUAGUUGGUGAGGUAAAGGCUCACCAAGGCGACGAUCCGUAGCUGGUCUGAGAGGAUGAUCAGCCACACUGGGACUGAGACACGGCCCAGACUCCUACGGGAGGCAGCAGUGGGGAAUUUUGGACGAUGGGGGCAACCCUGAUCCAGCCAUGCCGCGUGAGUGAAGAAGGCCUUCGGUUGUAAAGCUCGUUUCGGACGGACGAAUGGUUACGUGAAUUACCUGUGACUGAGUAGACGGUACCGUAAUAAGUAAGCACCGGACUAACGUAACGUCGACCAAGCCAAGCCGCGGUUAACG
rnacentral:rRNA from 1 species